rnacentral:rRNA from 1 species
CCUACGGGUGGCAGCAGUGAGGAAUAUUGGUCAAUGGGCGGGAGCCUGAACCAGCCAAGUCGCGUGAGGGAAGACGGUCCUAUGGAUUGUAAACCUCUUUAGGCGGGGAGCAAUGCCGUGCACGCGUGCCCGGAGGGAGAGUACCCGCAGAAUAAGCAUCGGCUAACUCCGUGCCAGCAGCCGCGUUAAUACGGAGGAUUCGAGCGUUAUCCGGAUUUAUGGGGUUUAAAGGGUGCGUGGGCGGAUUUUUAGGUCAUCGUGAAAAUGUCCGGGCUCAACCCGGGCCGGCCGUUGAAACUGGGGAUCUUGAGUGGGCGAGAAGUGUGCGGAAUGCGUGGUGUAGCGGUGAAAUGCAUAGAUAUCACGCAGAACUCCGAUUGCGAAGGCAGCAUACCGGAGCCCGACUGACGCUGAGGCACGAAAGCGUGGGGAUCGAACAGGAUUAGAUACCCCUGUAGUC